rnacentral:rRNA from 1 species
UACGUAGGGUCCGAGCGUUGUCCGGAAUUACUGGGCGUAAAGGUCUCGUAGGCGGUCUGUCGCGUCGGUAGUGAAAACUCAGGGCUCAACCCUGAGCGUGCUUUCGAUACGGGCAGACUAGAGGUAUGCAGGGGAGAAUGGAAUUCCUGGUGUAGCGGUGGAAUGCGCAGAUAUCAGGAGGAACACCGGUGGCGAAGGCGGUUCUCUGGGCAUUACCUGACGCUGAGGAGCGAAAGCAUGGGGAGCGAACAGGAUUAGAUACCCGGGUAGUCCCU